UUUUCGAAAACACUGUUGGUAUCAAUGUAUUUUGACAACUGUAGAAAUACUUGAUUGCCACGCCGACCAAACUACUGUCUGCCACUAGUGAGUAAGCCAACUAUGCUUAUUUAUCCUAUGUAUAUGCACGUAUUUGUGUAUAUAUAUCACUGAAUUCAAUAAAAAGACUAAGUUAAGUAUGGGUUUCAAGUGUGUAGUAUCUACUUGUGGAAAGUCCCGCAAACAUGCACUUUUGCAUCGGUUUCCUCUUUAUGUAAAUGUUAGAGAAGAAUGGUUUCGUAGAAUUGGUGACCCAAAACUGUUGGCAAUGAGCCAUAAACAAAUUGAUGCUAAACGACUCUGCACUGAACAUUUUAGUGAAACUUGUAGAUUUCCUGGGAGUUGGAUGGGGUCAAA